CAAGUCAUGCAACAAGUUUCAUUUCUUUGGACAAAAAUAUCACAUCAUUUAUUUAUUUCAGAUAGAAGAGUUAUUCAAUAAAAGCAAAGAGAUACAAAAUAAUAUAAGGAUAAAACAAAAAUAAUUGAAAUCAUCCAUUUCACAAACACCAACAAUCAGGACCUCCGAAAUUCAGUCAAUGAUCUUUUGUCCCUAAAGUCACCAAGCUCUCUUUAUAUCCAUUCUCUAGCAGGCCAGAAAACAUAAACAUGUACAUCAUUUGAAUAGGGAGAAUAAGUAAUAAGUUAACGUCAAACAGAUGUUAGCAAUGACGUGGUGGUCCUAGGUUAGGUCAUGACAAAUACUUAAACAGUAACCGAAAAAGUUUCCCCCAUUGUUUCUUCUGACUUGCGUUACAAACUAAUAAAAAACAAAAUCGUCAGGGUUGGUGAAUAAAAUGAAAAAAUCUGACUCAGGCGAAAAAAACUAAACAAAUUGUCACAUACGAUUUUGUAAGUGACGCGUUACAAAGUUGUUUUUAAUGUAAAACAAUCAAAACCUACUUUUUGAGCUUAUUGUAACCCCAGUUCCUCCAAGGGAAUCAAACGUACAUGUCUUCAACAAUCUAAGCGAAAUGUUGAUUGCUCACAAUGUGACUAUUUCUUACAGAUGUUGGAUAACGUAACAACUCAUUUUGACGAAGUUUUAAAGAUGACGAGUGUAUAUAUAUAUAAAGAUGACAUUUCUUUAAUUAAAAAAAAAAACAACCAAAAAAAAAACAAAAAACUCAGCUAUUGAGACUAUCGGAAUGCUGUCUACUGUAAGCUUUCUUUUCAAACAAGUCCGGUCUAUAGAAAUAUAUAAAAUAGCACGUAUGACUGAUUAGUCACUUCUCAAGUGUGUUGUCAAUGUUCACAUAUCGAAAUAAAAUACUAACAAAAAGAAUUACAAUUUCAUUCAAAUUGUUAUAUGAAAUAUGCUUUAGUCGACGCAAUAGAUUGUAUAUAUGUACACUUUUAAACAACAGACUAUGAUAAAAAUAAUCACUCUAUCUUCCUGUGGAGUG